rnacentral:rRNA from 2 species
UGUAGCAAGGUUAACCGAAUAGGGGAGCCGGAGGGAAACCGAGUCUUAAUUGGGCGUUAAGUUGCAGGGUAUAGACCCGAAACCCGGUGAUCUAGCCAUGGGCAGGUUGAAGGUUGGGUAACACUAACUGGAGGACCGAACCGACUAAUGUUGAAAAAUUAGCGGAUGACCUGUGGCUGGGGGUGAAAGGCCAAUCAAACCGGGAGAUAGCUGGUUCUCCCCGAAAGCUAUUUAGGUAGCGCCUCGUGAAUUCAUCUCCGGGGGUAGAGCACUGUUUCGGCUAGGGGGCCAUCCCGGCUUACCAACCCGAUGCAAACUGCGAAUACCGGAGAAUGUUAUCACGGGAGACACACGGCGGGUGCUAACGUCCGUCGUGAAGAGGGAAACAACCCAGACCGCCAGCUAAGGUCCCAAAGUCAUGGUUAAGUGGGAAACGAUGUGGGAAGGCCCAGACAGCCAGGAUGUUGGCUUAGAAGCAGCCAUCAUUUAAAGAAAGCGUAAUAGCUCACUGGUCGAGUCGGCCUGCGCGGAAGAUGUAACGGGGCUAAACCAUGCACCGAAGCUGCGGCAGCGACACUGUGUGUUGUUGGGUAGGGGAGCGUUCUGUAAGCCUGUGAAGGUGUGUCGUGAGGC